UUGUGAUAUCCUUACAAAAUCAUACCAAAUAGCAAGAGCAAUUUGUUUUUAUUAGCUCUAACUUCUCUCGGCCUAUCAAUUCCUUUGAUAUUUUAACUCAUUAUCAUGAAUCCUCAAAUCAACCAACUCUCACAUUCAAUAAGAAAUAUCAUAAGUGAAUUCUCGCAAAUUGCCAAUUGGUCCAAAUCAUUUGGUUUGGUGAGAAAAAAAAAGGCUUAAUGUGAAGAAUGAGAAGGGUCCAAAUACAUUUUGCUAUGGUGACUUACACUCAAGAAUAGGAGUUUGAUCAUUAUGCAAAAUUUAUCUAAGAAAAUGAGCAAUUAAUGCAUACAUAAAUCGGUUCUCAUCAUUGUACCCUUUUCCUAGACAAUUUUUAAGUUCUACCCUUUCUUUUCUUCAUCUCAAAUCCCAAAUGUACACUCAUUUUUAUCUCUUACCCAAUGAACACUCUUUUCUCUUUUUUUUUUUUUCUUUUCUUUUUGGGGUUUUUAUUGACACAAUCUGAGCU
rnacentral:lncRNA from 1 species